GGGCGUUCUUCUGUGACGUCAAGCGGUGCGCUCACAGGCAGCGAAAAGAGAGAACAGCUGUACCCUGGGGCAGUGCAGAGGUCAGGGAGUUGGCCUCAGAAGCCCCGAGUUCCAACCUGGUGAUGGCAACUUGAGCUAGUGGUGACCCUUGUGGCCUCAGUUUCCCCUACUGUAAAAUAAUAAUCAUUAGUCCUCCUACUUGGAUCUCAGGGUACAGUUUACAAAGCCAGCGUGAAGAAACUGAGGAUUCGAGAUCUGCCCAACCCAAAGCAGAACUGAGAUUGAAACCUGGGGACUCUCAAGUAAAACCCCAGUUGCCUUUCUGAGAAGAGGGACUUGAAUCAUCAUGAUCUUCUUCUUGGUCUCCCAUUUUCUGAUUCUUUGUUACUUCAAUUCACUUUUUUUUUUCCUCAGAGUUUUCUAACUCACCAGUAUAUCAUAUCUCAGUGCAUACUGCUUAAAUUGAGGAGAUAACAAUACAUCCACUUGGGAAGGGUUUUGCCACAGUGUAUCAAAGAUUUAAAAAAAAAAAAAAAACUAGAGAAUGUCUAAUCCAAUCAUGUUAAAAAUAAUUUUCAUUGCAAAUUAAGUUAUACAUACAGACUUGUAUUAAAAAUGUUAAUGAAAGCAGCAAUACCUGCACGACUAGCACCCAUUAAGAAAUAUAACAUUAACUGUGCUUAACAAUGCUCUGAAAGGAAGCUCUUCCUCUAAUUUGGUUAAAAUAAUUCAACCCUUUAAAAAUGCCCUAACAGUGUAUUGUCUUCCUUGCCCUGGAAAUAACCACUACAUUGACUUUUGUUACAAUAUUUCCCGUGCUUUCAAGUAUGAACUUCCAAAUAAGAUACAUUCAAUGUGUUCUGUUAUUGACCUUAUUUAAAUGGAAUUAAUACUGUGUCUCUUCUAUUCAUCCAAUGUUGAUGCUGUGUGGCUGAAGUUUGUUCCAUUUUGGGGUAAUACUCUGAUUUAGAAAUAUGUAAUAAUUUAUCUUUUCUGCUUUUGAUGGUCAUUUGUACUGUUUCCACUUUUAGCAAUUAACAAUGUCAUUAUGAACAUUCCAGUACAUGUCUGUUGCACUGUGUGCUGGAGUAGGAGUAGAUUGACUGGAUAUUAGGUUCUGCACAUGUGGGACUUUAUAGGUAAUGCUACAUCAUUUUCCAUGCUAGUAUCAAUUUAUGUUUCUGCCAGAAAUAUAUGAGUUCUUACUUUUCUAUUCCCCUGCCAAUGUUUAUGUUGUUUGGGUUUUUAAUUUUUGUAUGUUUGAAUAUGUGUAAUAUAGGUUUCUCAUUGUGAUUUUAUUUGGUAUCUCUGAUUACUAUUGAGGUUGAGCACCUUUGCUUGGUUUCAUUAGCAUUUUCAUUUUCUCUUUAUGAACUGCUUAGUAGUUUUCUAAACCAUUUUUUCAAUAAAUUCUAUUUUUUUAAUUUUUUAUUAUUUAUUUUUUAGUUUUUGGCGGACACAACAUCUUUUGUUUGUAUGUGGUGCUGAGGAUCGAACCCGGGCCGCACGCAUGCCAGGCGAGCUUGCUACCGCUUGAGCCACAUCCCCAUCCCUAAUAAAUUCUAUUUUUUUGACAGCAGUUCUUUAUGUUUAGAUAAUAAUUCUUCAUCUUAUAUGUUGCAAAUAUCCUUCCUUUUUUGUGCUUGAUCUUUUCAUUUUACCUAUAAUAUGUGAAGAACAGAAGAGAAAUUGUUAAGUCAUUGAAUAUGAGUGUUCUCAGUUUGACCAAAUAAUGCUAAAUUUCUGUCCAUAGUACUAUAGCAGUGUACCCUACUCCCAUCAAUGUUUUGAGGGCUAGUAUGGCCCCAUGUUCUUCCCAACCUCAGCAUGAUUAAACUUUUUUGUUUCCCCAGAUAUGAACUACAGUCUCACUAUUGAUUUUCUCAGAUUACUGAUGAGUCUGAGCACAUCUUUAUAUGCUUAUAAGAUUUUCUGCUUUCUUUACUAUAAAUUGUCUGUUCAUGUCCU
rnacentral:lncRNA from 1 species